rfam:Anaerobium acetethylicum strain GluBS11 genome assembly, contig: Ga0116910_1003
UGAUACCAGGGUCAAAAGGUCAUGUUGUUCAUGCUUGCAUGAAAAAACAUGACUUUGGGACCCGUAAAAACAUGAGAAAGUAGCCCGAACAGGGCGGAUUUCGAAUGUUUUUAGGAUUGUGGGAGCACAUCGUGCGGAACAAUCCGUGGGUAUCA